rnacentral:rRNA from 1 species
UACGUAGGGGGCAAGCGUUGUCCGGAUUUAUUGGGCGUAAAGAGCGUGUAGGCGGCUUGGCAAGUCCGCUGUGAAAACUCGAGGCUCAACCUCGAGAUGUCGGUGGAAACUGCUUGGCUAGAGUCCGGUAGGGGACCACGGAAUACCUGGUGUAGCGGUGAAAUGCGCAGAUAUCAGGUGGAACACCGAUGGCGAAGGCAGUGGUCUGGGCCGGCACUGACGCUGAAUAGCGAAAGCGUGGGUAGCGAACAGG